rnacentral:rRNA from 1 species
GACGUAGGGCGCGAGCGUUGUCCGGAUUUAUUGGGCGUAAAGAGCUCGUAGGCGGCUCGUUGCGUCAACCGUGAAAACCCGGGGCUUAACUUCGGGCUUGCGAUUGAUACGGGCGGGCUGGAGUUCGGUAGGGGAGACUGGAAUUCCUGGUGUAGCGGUGAAAUGCGCAGAUAUCAGGAGGAACACCGGUGGCGAAGGCGGGUCUCUGGGCCGAUACUGACGCUGAGGAGCGAAAGCGUGGGGAGCGAACAGG